rnacentral:rRNA from 1 species
UUUAGAGGAAGUAAAAGUCGUAACAAGGUCUCCGUAGGUGAACCUGCGGAGGGAUCAUUACAAGUGACCCCGGUCUAACCACCGGGAUGUUCAUAACCCUUUGUUGUCCGACUCUGUUGCCUCCGGGGCGACCCUGCCUUCGGGCGGGGGCUCCGGGUGGACACUUCAAACUCUUGCGUAACUUUGCAGUCUGAGUAAACUUAAUUAAUAAAUUAAAACUUUUAACAACGGAUCUCUUGGUUCUGGCAUCGAUGAAGAACGCAGCGAAAUGCGAUAAGUAAUGUGAAUUGCAGAAUUCAGUGAAUCAUCGAAUCUUUGAACGCACAUUGCGCCCCCUGGUAUUCCGGGGGGCAUGCCUGUUCGAGCGUCAUUUCACCACUCAAGCCUCGCUUGGUAUUGGGCAACGCGGUCCGCCGCGUGCCUCAAAUCGACCGGCUGGGUCUUCUGUCCCCUAAGCGUUGUGGAAACUAUUCGCUAAAGGGUGUUCGGGAGGCUACGCCGUAAAACAACCCCAUUUCUAAGGUUGACCUCGGAUCAGGUAGGGAUACCCGCUGAACUUAAGCAUAUCAAUAAGCGGGAGGA